GCAUACAUAUUUUUAUUUGAAAUGAAAUUAUUGAUAGUGAUUUUUUUUCAUUUCUUGUAAAUAUUUGCACCAGGAAGCCAAAGGGGGGAAAAUCAUGCUAUCUGUACUAGAAAAUUUAACCUGUAUUACUGUUAUCUAAUAUGCUUUAGUGAUCUUCAGACUAUUCACUAAUUAAGCAUGUUCUUUAAUACCACCAAAUAAUAUUCAUUGUUAUGCGCAACAACUGCAAAGAGAUUGAGUCCCAAGAUCUACAAAGGAUUGUGAGAGUUGGUGGUUGAGAUUUGUCACAAUCAGAAUGGGACUCAACUGGUACCCACAGUCUUACAUUUACUCAAAUUUAAUCCAGUUCAAAAUUUUACUACUGCAUGCUUUUAUUCAAAUGAACCACAAAUGCAUGAUUUAAAGACUGCUUUAGGUCGGGCGUGGUGGCUCAUGCCUGUAAUCCCAGCACCUUGAGAGGCGGAGGCAGGUGGAUCACCCAAGGUCAGGAGUUCAUGACCAGCCUGGCCAACAAUGGUAAAACGUCGUGUGUAUUAAAAAUACCAAAUGAGUUGGGCGUGGUGGUGUGCACCUGUAAUCCCAGCUACUUGGGAGUCUGAGGCAGGAGAAUCACUUGAACCUGGGAGGUGGAGGUUGCAGUGAGCCGAGAUCGUGCCAUUGCACUCCAGCCUGGACAAAAAGAGCGAAACUCCAUCUCAAACAAUAAAUAAAUAAAUAAAUAAAGACUGUUAUAUAUGACAUUCUUUGACACCUAAUCAAAGAUAUAUGGUUAAGCUUAUGCUUAUUUAGACCUUUCUAAUGCUACAGUUCCCAAAGUUCUCCUCCCCUAACACACAAGCAUUGAAAAUCAUGAAUCAUUCUUUAAAAGACCACAUAUUAGGAAUUCAUAGGAAUUGAGUUUUUAAGAUCUUUUUCACAGUCUUAAUUUAUAAAUCACUGAAUGAGAAUAAAAGAUCUAACAUUUCUGUCUUAGUAGAUAUGCUUUGUGACAUAUAGUACGUGACUAAGCCUUUUAUCUGUCUGAAAAAUGGAUCCGAACCCUGCUUCUAACUUAUGUUUUAAGAGACAUUGGGAAGGAAAUGGGUAAAAGGACCUAGAGGGCUUUCAAAUUUGUCAGCUCUGUAAACGCAAAUUAUUUGAAGACAUUGCUAAGGUCUUCAUUCUCUUUAUUUUCUUGAGCUGAAACAGAUAAGAUAGUCGUUGGUUCAUCAGUUGCCCCUGGCAACACUGCCCCAUCCCCAUCCUCUCCCACCUCUCCUACUUCUGAUGCCACGACCUCUCUGGAGAUGAACAAUCCUCAUGCCAUCCCACGCCGGCAUGCUCCAAUUGAACAGCUUGCUCGCCAAGGCUCUUUCCGAGGUUUUCCUGCUCUUAGCCAGAAGAUGUCACCCUUUAAACGCCAACUAUCCCUACGCAUCAAUGAGUUGCCUUCCACUAUGCAGAGGAAGACUGAUUUCCCCAUUAAAAAUGCAGUGCCAGAGGUAGAAGGGGAGGCAGAGAGCAUCAGCUCCCUGUGCUCACAGAUCACCAGUGCCUUCAGCACACCUGAGGACCCCUUCUCAUCUGCUCCGAUGACCAAACCAGUGACAGUGGUGGCACCACAAUCUCCUACCUUCCAAGGGACCGAGUGGGGUCAAUCUUCUGGUGCUGCCUCUCCAGGUCUCUUCCAGGCCGGUCAUAGACGUACGCCCUCUGAGGCCGACCG
rnacentral:sRNA from 1 species